CUGCAGCUCAAGUGGUGAUCGUUAUUAUUGGGCCUAAAACGUUCGUAGCCGGUUUGGUAAAUGCCUGGGUAAAUCGUGUAGCUUAACUAUACGAAUUCCGGGUAGACUGCCAAACUUGAGACCGGGAGAAGCUAGAGGUACUCCUGGGGUAGAGGUGAAAUUCUGUAAUCCUGGGGGGACCACCAGUGGCGAAGGCGUCUAGCUAGAACGGGUCUGACGGUGAGGAACGAAGCCCUGGGGCGCAAACCGGAUUAGAGACCCGAGUAGUCC
rnacentral:rRNA from 1 species